UUUGUUUGAGCGUCAAUUUAGGUUUUAAUAUGUAGCAUAGCUGAUUCUGACAUUUUAUCUUAGAUGUAAAUUGAAAUUAGUACAUGAAACGUGACUUGGUACGUGAAAUUAAAUGUUUAAUUUUAAUAUGAAAUACUGUGACAUGGUGGCCCAUGGCUUCCUCAGUAUACAUUUAAUUUCGAAAAUUGUUGGCAUUAUUUUUUAUUUUUAUGAAUAGUAAUUGAGCUAUUGAAAAUAGUUUAGAAUAAUAGUAUAUAUUUUGGACAUUGUUUGGUGAAGGUGUCAGAGUAAGAGUUAUUGAAGCCACAGUACAUUUGUUAAAGGUGAAAGAGAUGUUUAGGAUGAGGAAAGGAUUCCCUUGUUGCAGCAAGGGAAGGAAAAUUAGCAUUGAUUUUCUUCAUGACCAAGAAAGUAAGUUCAUACUUUCAAACUAUGUCUAUAUAUAUGUGCUUUUAUAUUUCUAUUAAUUUAAAUUAAUUUUUUAAUUAUACUAGGUUUAAGUUUUGGAAGGGUACAAAUACUUUUAUAGUUAAUUUUUUGGCAAGCCUACUUUAGAAUGUAUGAUGCUAGUUAUUUUAGUUACAUUCUCAAUAGUGUUGUAUGAGAGUUAGAUUUGAAUUUGAAAUGAAAACCAUAGAUACUUCUCUCUAUGUUUCUA
rnacentral:lncRNA from 1 species